GAGCCAGCUCAGCUCAGCCCAGCGGUUCCAUCGACCAAAGCAUUGCACAGAUCCCCUAAUCGCUUCCAGCGGUUUGAGACCCGCGGGCGCUGUCUGGCUUUUUA
ensembl:vault_RNA Vault Vault RNA